UGCUGUAAAACAUGUAAAGUGAUAUUUUGUUUUCUUAUAUGAUCACGCCAUCAGUAUCAUAUACCCGUCCUUGUUAAAUGUGCAUCGCAGGUUUUUUUUUUAUUUAAUGACGCACUUGAUAAAUGUUUCGAUCAAAAUUUAGAACCUUAGCACAGCUGACAUAUUUUCACAUUCGGUUUAAAAUGGAAAUCCGGUUUUCUAUUAAGUUACAUCUUUGUUAAAUGAAAUAGUUAGCUAAUAUAACCUUCUCAAAUUCAGAAUUGUGCGGGGUAUAACAAAAUCACACUUAUUUGCAAGUCAUGCUCUGUUUAUGCAUUAUACACCCCCCCCCCCAAAAAAAAAUCAAAAAAAAUCGCAGUCUUAAAAUUUCAAGCCAAGAUUGACAAUGUCUUUUCGAGGGGUAACAAUCUGCUCUAUCACUCUCUCAGAUAUGUGUUAUUUAAUUUAUUAUACUGAAUGUUCUGUUAUUGCUGUCUAUUAAAUUUCAAAUUCAAAGAAAUAAGCUGUGACGUCUUGUGAAAAAUCAAUACCAAUCAUCCGUAUUUAUUAAAGCGCACACUCGAUCAAGCGUCUCCGUGAAGGGUAAUAGAGUUUUUGCCAUGGGAUAGAGUAAAUUGCUCUCCUUGCUAUCAACCAAUCAAAAUCUGGAAUUUUGACAUGAAGUAUAAUAAAACACAAUAUCUAACCGUACUUAGAAAAGAAACAUAAUAACUAAAUACAUGAAUGUUGGAUCUAUAAAUACCGAAACACGUCGUAUAGCAUGCGAAUUUUCAAUCGGCAAAACAGUCAUAUUCGGAAAUAGGUCACGUUCGGUACUUAGCAGACAGACGAUGUAGAUGGUAAACCACAAUCUAAGACGUGGUAAAAACGUCGUUAGUUAGUUUAGACACAGACACAUCGUAUAGAUCAACCAAUUUGUGAUGGUGUCCAUAUAAUUUACGGAGUGUCAUUUUUAAUCUUUCCUCCUCAUAACUUUGUUGGAGCAGUUUCUGCGUAAGGUGCACACUCCUGUAUAUGAAGUCCGUAUAGUGUGAACAUGCACGAGCAUAACGUAUCAAUUGAGAUAUGUAAACACCAUACGACGGAGCAGAGGGUAUGUUACUGCUGAGAAAUGGGAAAUUAAUAAUUGGGAAGUUGAAAUCAUCCCGUUUGUCAUAGACUUUAGUGUGAAGUCGUCCAUCUGUGUCAAUAUUGAGGAAAAGAUCAAGGUAUGAAGCAGUCCUUCUAGUAUCAAUAGUAUCCUCAAUUUCAAGUUCAUUGACAUAUAUGAGAUGCAAGUACUGACUGAAAUAUGAGUUA
rnacentral:lncRNA from 1 species